GGAAGGCUCCAGGAGCUGCAGGAAGCAGAGGGACUUUGUGAGCUCAGGGUGACCUGGAAGGGGGGCCUGGAGCAGCUGUGCCAGUGCCAGCACAGUCCUGGCAUUGCUGUGUGGGGGCCAGGAGCUAUUUUGGUCACCACAGAGGGCUGGGGUUGGUUUUGCUGUUUGCUUUUUGUGUGUGAGGUGGGGUUAGCACAGCCAGGCUGCCCCAAGGUUAAUCUUUGUCUAACCCUGUUCCUGCUCACUGCCCCUCCAAGGCUUCAGCAAAGCUCUUCCACUCUGCUCCUGUAGCAGGGACACUCCCAGGGGCUGUUUGUCCAUCUGUCCCCUAAACAGUCUCCUGUGAGGCAGGUGAGGAUGUUCCUGAGGCAUUUGCAGUGUGACAUCCAGAGCUUAUCCUGACAGUGCUGCUGGCCUUGGGGAGCUGGAGGAGCCUCCCACAGCUCCCAGCCCAGUGGUGUGGCUUGGGAACCCCACCAGUGACUGAGGGGAUUCCUCCCUCCCAAAAAGAAAAUGCCAAAAGCUGUCACCUGUGCCGGGGGGGAAAAGAGCCACUCCCAAAGCUGCAUUCAAAUCAUUUUAAUGCACUUUAUCAAAGAGGCUACAACAGUGUUUGAAACAAGUGCAUCACCACCACACAGCUGGCUCACAGAACAGCCACAGCAGCCAUCCACAGCCCUGCUGUGACCAGUGACACACAGAAAUGGAAAACUACAGUCACAUUCACAGAGAUGGAAGGACAA